UACGAAGGGUGCUAGCGUUGUUCGGAUUUACUGGGCGUAAAGGGCGCGUAGGCGGCCACCGCAAGUCGGUUGUGAAAUCUCCGGGCUUAACCCGGAAAGGUCAAUCGAUACUGCGGGGCUAGAGUGCAGAAGGGGCAACUGGAAUUCUCGGUGUAGCGGUGAAAUGCGUAGAUAUCGAGAGGAACACCUGCGGCGAAGGCGGGUUGCUGGGCUGACACUGACGCUGAAGCGCGAAAGCUAGGGGAGCGAACGGG
rnacentral:rRNA from 1 species